GUCGUCGUGGCGCAGCGGUAGAGCGUCAAACUGUAAACGUGAUAAUUGUUGGUUAGAUUCCUACUUACCACA
rnacentral:tRNA from 1 species